rnacentral:rRNA from 1 species
GAAUGAAGCGGGAGGCAGCCGAUGACAUAUCAAUGAGCGGAGGAGAUGCUGAGGAAGGUAGGCCGGCAACAUUAAAUGAGAAGUCCCGGCCCGGACCGGACCCCCCGCGGGAUUCUAACCGGCGCCCGCCGGAGGAUAACCAAACUCUAUUGUAACGACGUUUCUUCUGAGUGGCAUAAGCAAAAUAAUCAAAACUUUUAACAACGGAUCUCUUGGUUCUGGCAUCGAUGAAGAACGCAGCGAAAUGCGAUAAGUAAUGUGAAUUGCAGAAUUCAGUGAAUCAUCGAAUCUUUGAACGCACAUUGCGCCCGCCAGCAUUCUGGCGGGCAUGCCUGUUCGAGCGUCAUUUCAACCCUCAAGCUCUGCUUGGUGUUGGGGCUCUACGGUCGACGUAGGCCCUCAAAGGUAGUGGCGGACCCUCCCGGAGCCUCCUUUGCGUAGUAACAUUUCGUCUCGCACUGGGAUCCGGAGGGACUCUUGCCGUAAAACCCCCCAAUUUUCCAAAGGUUGACCUCGGAUCAGGUAGGAAUACCCGCUGAACUUAAGCAUAUCAAUAAGCGGAGGAAACG